rnacentral:rRNA from 1 species
UACGUAGGGGGCUAGCGUUGUCCGGAAUCAUUGGGCGUAAAGCGCGCGUAGGCGGCCCGGUAAGUCCGCUGUGAAAGUCAAAGGCUCAACCUUUGAAUGUCAGCGGAUACUGCCGGGCUAGAGUCCGGAAGAGGCGAGUGGAACUCCUGGUGUAGCGGUGGAAUGCGCAGAUAUCAGGAAGAACACCAACGGCGAAGGCAGCUCGCUGGGACGGUACUGACGCUGAGACGCGAAAGCUAGGGGAGCGAACAGG